AACGAACGCUGGCGGCAGGCCUAACACAUGCAAGUCGAGCGAGGACUUCGGUUCUAGCGGCGGACGGGUGAGUAACGCGUGGGAAUGUGCCCUUCUCUACGGAAUAGCCCUGGGAAACUGGGAGUAAUACCGUAUACGCCCUAUUGGGGAAAGAUUUAUCGGAGAAGGAUCAGCCCGCGUUGGAUUAGGUAGUUGGUGGGGUAAUGGCCUACCAAGCCGACGAUCCAUAGCUGGUUUGAGAGGAUGAUCAGCCACACGGGACUGAGACACGGCCCAGACUCCUACGGGAGGCAGCAGUGGGGAAUCUUAGACAAUGGGGGCAACCCUGAUCUAGCCAUGCCGCGUGAGUGAUGAAGGCCUUAGGGUUGUAAAGCUCUUUCAGCUGGGAAGAUAAUGACGGUACCAGCAGAAGAAGCCCCGGCUAACUCCGUG
rnacentral:rRNA from 1 species